AUUUACAAAAUAUAAUUUGGAUACAUAAUAAUUAGGACUAAAAAAUUAUCGGACCCAAGCAAAAAAUUAAUUUUCUGACCCAAGAAAAUCGCAUUUGACCCAAGAAACCUCGCAUUUCCGGUGAAAUUAUAUAAAUUCUGAUUUUAACAAAAAAUGAAAAAAUCAACUCCCCAUUUUUUCUUUUUUUACAAAAUAUUAUUUGGAUAUAUAAUAAUUAGGACUAAAAAACUAUCUGAACCAAGCAAAAAACUGGCGGACACUGUCCGUACAACUGUAUAAGCAUGCGUGAUGCUAUAUUCCUUUUUUUUUUUUAUAGUAGCUCCUUUUUAUACAAUAGACCUCGCAAAUAUCGGUGUUUUCUUGUCAUUUUACUUGUCUAACCAACCAGCAAUUGUACCGCGGCAUACACAGUGCGCGGUGCGGCGGGAACCAAUCAUACUGGUUAUCGCGAAGACAACUUCCCAAUCAAUCAAGCGAACUUGUAAAAAAAAAAAAAAAACGCAGCAUUCUUCUACUG